AGCUGAAUAGCUUAAGCAAAGCUUAUACUUUGAAAGUAUAUGAAGAAGGUUUAAUUCCUUCGUCAGCUU
rnacentral:tRNA from 1 species